GAUGAACGCUAGCGGCAGGCCUAAUACAUGCAAGUCGGACGGGAUUCAGGAGCUUGCUUCUGAUGAGAGUGGCGCACGGGUGCGUAACACGUAUGUAACCUACCUUUAUCAGGGGGAUAGCCUCUCGAAAGAGAGAUUAAGCCCGCAUAAAAUCACAGCACAGCAUUGUGUAAUGAUCAAAUAUUUAUAGGAUAAAGAUGGGCAUGCGGAACAUUAGCUAGAUGGCGGGGUAACGGCCCACCAUGGCGACGAUGUUUAGGGGAUCUGAGAGGAUGGCCCCCCACACUGGGACUGAGACACGGACCAGACUCGUACGGGAGGCAGCAGUAAGGAAUAUUGGUCAAUGGGCGGAAGCCUGAACCAGCCAUGCCGCGUGCAGGAAGACGGCCCUACGGGUUGUAAACUGCUUUUAUACGGGAAUAAACCCAGAUACGUGUAUCUGGCUGAAUGUACUGUAAGAAUAAGGAUCGGCUAACCCCGUG
rnacentral:rRNA from 1 species